rnacentral:rRNA from 1 species
AACGAACGCUGGCGGCAUGCCUCACACAUGCAAGUCGAACGAGACCUUCGGGUCUAGUGGCGCACGGGUGCGUAACGCGUGGGAAUCUGCCCCUCGGUUCGGAAUAACAGUUAGAAAUGACUGCUAAUACCGGAUAAUGACUUCGGUCCAAAGAUUUAUCGCCGAGGGAUGUGCCUGCGUAAGAUUAGGUAGUUGGUGGGGUAAAGGCCUACCAAGCCGACGAUCUUUAGCUGGUCUGAGAGGAUGAUCAGCCACACUGGGACUGAGACACGGCCCAGACUCCUACGGGAGGCAGCAGUGGGGAAUAUUGGACAAUGGGCGAAAGCCUGAUCCAGCAAUGCCGCGUGAGUGAUGAAGGCCUUAGGGUUGUAAAGCUCUUUUACCAGGGAUGAUAAUGACAGUACCUGGAGAAUAAGCUCCGGCUAACUCCGUGCCAGCCGCCGCAGUAA